UACGUAGGGACCAAGCGUUGUUCGGAUUUACUGGGCGUAAAGGGCGCGUAGGCGGCAAUUCAAGUCAUCUGUGAAAUCUCAGGGCUCAACCCUGAAACUGCACUUGAUACUGCUCUGCUUGAGGACUGGAGAGGAGACUGGAAUUCACGGUGUAGCAGUGAAAUGCGUAGAUAUCGUGAGGAAGACCAGUGGCGAAGGCGGGUCUCUGGACAGUUCCUGACGCUGAGGCGCGAAGGCCAGGGGAGCAAACGGG
rnacentral:rRNA from 1 species